CUCCACUUUUGCUAACACUUCUCUCUUGCCUGCUGCCAUGUAAGACAUGGCUUUGCUGCUCCUUUGCCUUUUGCCGUGAUUACAAGGCCUCCGCAGCCAUAUGGAACUGUGAGUCCAUUAAACCUCUUUUCCUUUAUAAGUUACCCAGUAUUGGGUAUGUCUUUAUUGGCAAAGUAAGAGUGAAAUAAUACAGCAGGGCAUGAGAAAAAUCAAGGUAACCCUCCCAACAUCUUGUCUGGUUUUAAUCCCUUAUUAAAAAUGCCAGGCCGGCUCCAAUGAGACUCAUAUGUCUGAAAUCCAGGAAAGGAAGAUGGCUAACAUGGGCACCAGAGGCAAAAGAAUAUGUUUGUAACACAGUCCAAGAAAAGAGGAAGCUGAAAUCAUAGUAGAAUACUGCAGGAAAGGAUCAUGCUGUAAGACUCACCAAAAAAGGGCUUUGAAAAUUCUGCAUUUGAAGCAAGAACUUACAAGAAGGAAUGCAGCUCUCACCAGGAUUAAAUUUCUGCCAAGAAGUACAUGGUGACAAAGAACAGACACUCCAGAGACAGACCCUUUGGCUUCUAACCUGCCUUUCCCACUUAAUGGAUGCAUGACCUUGGAUCAGUAAUGGAGAGAACUUCAGAAAACAAAGGAUACACAAAUCUGGUAGCAACCUAAGGAUUGUGAGAGACCACACAAAUUUCUCUUUUAGAAUAAAUCCUACCUGCAGAAGUCUGGGGGCACCAUGCCAUAAACAUUGAUCCUGUCACAGAGCUCCAGUGCAAUUGUCAUUGUGAACCAGCCAGUGCUGAGCCAAGUGUUGGAUAUCUUCCUGGAAGGAACAAUAAUUAAGUCUGCAAGCUGGCUGUAUAUUCAUAAGACCUUUGAAACUGAAGGAGCUGGAAUGGAGAAGAGCUGACUGAAUGGCAAAGGGUAAGAAGAGGAAGUGGCUUCCCUGAAGUUAGAGGCUAUUUUCACCUAUGGGCCGUGACAAUGCACUGGCCAUGUGUUCUACACCUAAUCCAGGUGAGUGAAUAACUGGGAGGAUGUGGAACCCAGGAAGAGGAUGACAGCUCACUUACAGCUUCAGGAGCCUAAUCUGGGAAUCACACUUAUAUUCCCUCUGCUUUUAGAGCUAUUGGACACACCAAAGGGGGCUUUUUCCAGGGGCAGAAACUCUCCCAUAACUCUGGUUCUGUUUUAUGUGAUGUAGUAGAGAUCAUAAACCACAGCCUGAAUACAGGAGGAUGUGGCUGUACAGGAAAAGGCUUUGUGGGUAAAAUAGGGAGAAGAAUGCAAGGUAGAGGAUGAAAGAAACUAAAGUGAAGAGUUCUUUAAAGUGACAUUUAAAAUUCCCCAGACUUCCUAAAUAACAGCCUUUUGGGGCCACGUGCUAUAGAAAUGCAACACUUUGUGCUGUCUUUCUAAAACUCUUUGUUGAACUCUUUUUCUAACAAAGGAAUAUCUACUGUUUUUACACUUAAUCAGCUGUAAUGAAAGAAUAUGAAGAGCUGUCAUGUGCUUAUUAGGGAAAAUUAUCAGAUAUUCUUUUAUAUGAUGAAGUAACACACUGAGCUGAUAAUUCUAUAGUGCACACUAAAUUACAAUUAAGGGCCUUUCUGCUCCACCAGAAUCUCAUUUAUAAUCUCUAUGGAAAUAUUCUUCCUGCAGUUAUUUCAUUUAUGCUUCCUUUAUCUAAUUACUAUAAUAUUGGUUCUGAAUCAUAUUUUCCUAAUGUACCCUUAUUCAAUUAUAAAGUUAUUUUCAAGUACAGUUACUUUUUAAUAUCAAAGAAUACCACUUGGCCAUCUAAGUCAUUUGUCAUGCUUCUUAAUUGCAGAUUGUUCCUGAGCCACUUUUUUCUCCACUUUUAAGGAGGGUGAAACCUCUAUCAAUCACAAUCUAUUAAAUGACCCUAUUUCUUCAAAAUAUUCAACCAAAAGGAAAGUCCUGAUCAUGGGAUCUGCAAGAUCUGCAAGUUAGAUAUUCUGCACUUUAUGUGUCAUAUGCUACUGUUUCGUUGGGUUUCAAGAAAAGCAUACAUUGAGAAAUACCAUUACACCCUAAAUGUUUUAGGUUUUAAUUUACAGAAAUAGUUUUGUCCUGAAUGGCCAUUUCUGACUUGUUUCUUUUAGCUUGGAGCAGGCUACAGUUUAAGAAUAUUAAGUCAAUAGAGUAUUGGCUUCUUUAAGACUGUUUCCCGAAGGCAAGAGGCACAAAGUUUCUGGAAGCAGCAGUGUACUCUGGCAUCCUCCACAUUCAUAAGUGUGAUUCCCCUGAGUAGGGACUACGUGGAUCCUGGCAGAUGGAUGUCUGUGGAAAGAGGUCCACCAGCCACUCCACAAAGCUUUGGCUCCCUCCAUACCAGCCAGGACGACCAGGAAGAAAGACCUGGUGAGAAAAAGCUUCUCAUUGGCCAGAAUUUAGUGAAUUUAGUCAGCAGGAUAUGCCUUGCUGUGAGAUGGGUUCCUAAAGAUCCUGAGUGGCCAAAGGGUAUGAUGACUUAGUAUCUAACUUAUCAGCUUAAAAUGAUUUCUCAAGGAGUCCAGAACAAUGUUUAACUAUACUAAAUAGCUCACAUUGCGGCAGUGUUUUAGGAAUACUUAUUUAGCAAUCAACCAUUAAACUAAAAAGAGAAAAGUGUUUUCUGUUGAGACGGUUUCUACUUAUUUCAAAUUUUCCAACAAGUAAAAAAUGAAACUAAAUAACUCGCCUCCUUCUUGAUUCCUUAUAAAAUGUUUUCUUGAUUAAAUAACUCAUUCAAAUGAGUGACAGUCUGUCUUAUCUGUGAGUUGCAAAGGUCAAUGCAUGACUGGGUUUUAUGGCAGCUGGCGAUGAUGAUCAGAAUCCCCAGUGUGAUCUGCUGGCUGGGCUACCCAUGGGGUCUGCCGGGCCUUCCAGGGAGGAAGGCCACAGUGCCAACGGCCAGCUCUUCCUCCUUCCUCCACCAGACCCAUGCCUCCUGCCUGGGCCAGCCCUUGACUGGUCACAAGGUUUCUAGGAUUUAAAAGCUAUCUAGCUCUUCCACACAAAGAAUUUGGGGGCACUGGACUGAAGUCUUUCUUUGAGACUAUUCUCUAAUAAUGAGCUGCUAGCCAAAGAAUGGGUUUAUUACUUUAUAUUCUUUAUUGCAUUUAUCAU